AUGGGGAGAGAGAUGUGGGUCGCAGACACGCUUCAAAGAGGCCCCGAGGCCGUGGGGGAGGGUGCGGACCCAUCAGGGGCCCCAGCGGCCGGGUGGAGGCCGAGGCCAGAGCCCUGGGGGCACAGAACUGAUACAGCUGGGGUGACCCUGCCAAGUCCACGUGGGCCCUUCUCGGGGGGCUGCCCCCCCCUCCGGCAGUGUAGGGCUGCCCCCGCCUUCGAAGGCUUCUGGGCACAGCUCCCUUCCGCCGAGGCUCCCCUUCCCGGCCGUGAGCACCUGCCCCCUCUGGGCCAGCGAAGCUGCCGGAGCCCGUGGAGCCCCCGCCCGUCACGUGUGGGGCUGCAGGCCGGGCCCCCACCUGCUGGGCCAGGCACCCCGCCUUUCCCCGCCUCCAGCGGGGGCCAGCGCGGCCUCUGCUCCCACAGGCUCCAGGCCGCUCGGGCUCUCGGAGGUUCUCCCUCCGGGGACGCUUCCCGUCCUGCUGGUACUUGCCAGAAGGUCACCCAACCCCUGGAGAGGUUCUCCACGAACAGGCGCUGCGCCCCGAACUCCGUCUGUCUCCCCAGAAAUGCCAGGCGUGGCCCGUGCGCGGGCCAAAGCCAACGGCCCCGCGGGCUCAGGUCUAGGCGGGACGAGGCUGUGCCUUCGCCACCAGCUGUUCCUGAGACAACAGGCCUGCGGAUGCACUACAAGGUGGGGAGCGGGCUGUGUGGGGCCAACGCCAGGCGUCAGAACGGGAGGCAGGAGCCGCCGCGGGCGCCGUCCGGGACCCAAAUCCCUCAUCGGCCCUUUCCUGGACCGUGGGCUGGCGGGGGCCAGAGUGAGAGGGUCUCCCUCGGCCCGCCCAGACCAGGCAGCGUCCUGCACGGCUCCUCUCUCGGGGUCCCUUCCCUUCCCUUCCCUUCCCUUCCCUUCCCUUCCCUUCCCUCUCCUCUCUCCUCUCCUCUCCUCUCCUCUCCUCUCCUCUUUUCUUUUUCUGACUUUCCAGUAAAUAAUUCACUUUCUGUUUUGUCUGGGCCGUCCCCUUCCUUGUUCGAACGGCCAUGUUUAUGUGCAGAGCCCUGUGGCCUCCAGGCUAAGGUCCCCCCUGUCCUAUAG
rnacentral:lncRNA from 1 species